UCUCUAAGUCCUAUGGCCUCACCUAACAGUUAUUGGUAUAUUUCUUAGUUAAGUCAGAUCCAUCGUUCACCAACAGGUGCAAAGCCAUCAUUGAAACCCUCACCUAAUAGUUAUUGGGCCCAACCCCAUCUCUACCCUAAGACAUCAAAUAUCAAUAGAGUAAUUAUACCUUCCUGAUGCAAUCGAACCACUAUAACCAGC
rnacentral:lncRNA from 1 species